rnacentral:rRNA from 1 species
ACGAGUGGUCCAAGUGUUAGUCGGAAUCACUGGGCUUAAAGGGUGCGUAGGCGGGCCAGAAAGCGUCUUGUGAAAUCCCCCGGCUCAACCGGGGAACAGCAGGGCGAACUACUGGUCUUGAGGAAGGUAGAGGCCGGCAGAACGAUCGGUGGAGCGGUGGAAUGCGUAGAGAUCGGGAAGAACAUCGGUGGCGAAAGCGCUCUACUGGACCACAACUGACACUCAGGGACGAAAGCUAGGGGAGCGAAUGGGA